AUAGUCUUCAUCAAGAUCCUUAUUAUUUCUUGCUAUUUGUGAACCUCCCUGCUUUCAAGUCCUCUUCAAUUGUUUCUUCAGGCCAGACAUUCCAUAUGAGAAGGACUGAGAGUUCAAGGAUGCUGCAAUUAACGGCCUGGACAGAGGAUGGGGACAUGAAUAAUGGUAGAGUCCAGCAUUAGCACAACACUCCAUUCAUCACUGCUGAAGGGCAAAUGCAUAACCCUCAAAAUGAUCCUGGAAAGAGGAAAAGGGAGAGGAAUUGCAAGUUCCAUGGAACAGUGAUUUACCAUGCAGCAGAGGAUGUGAGCAUCUCCGAAAUAGAAGGGUCCACAUAUUUUGAACUUUAACAUAUAUAAUGAUACUUAUAAUGUGACUGUUACGGGCAGCUGAUUUUUCAUACAAUUGACAUGAGACCCAUCUGAUGAAGUGGCACUCCCAAAGAAAAGAUAAAGUCAAAUCUGGCUGGCCAGUUACAACUUCAGAGCUCUUUCAUAACUUUCUGAGGUUGUAGAUAAAUUGGACCUUCGCAGAAGACCGUGGCUGUGGACAAGUAAACAAUUCCUAUCAUACAUUUCUCACUGGAGGGAAAGUUAAAAGUUAGAUUCAAUAAAAGUGACCGCCAUGACUUAACUAAACCAUCCAGCAUCUCCUUGCCGACAGCCUGCCUUAUAUUUACAUGAAAGGAUUUCCUGCCAGUUUAUCAUCUUAGUCUUAAUACCUAGGCCUUUAUCCCCUCAUCUCUAUCCUACCAAUUGCCUGUCUUUUCAUUUUGCACAGAUGGAAUGGGCAAUUGAAGAAGUAAGGCAUCAUUACCUUCUUCUUUUUAAAGAUGUAGGGAGUGAGCACCAGGUUCUGUUCUCAGCAAACCUCUUUAAUCCUAGUGGGGUUGGUUAUAGCAACUUCAAGCCUACCUGACUCCAGUUUUCUCUUCCAAAUCAAUCUUUAAUCCUCAAAAAGGUUGAUUUGAUUGCACAGUCCUUGCUUACUGUAUUUCAAUGGUUCCCUAGGGUUUUCAUAUUAUAGCUGGAGUUCCUUAGCUUGGGAAAAAAAAUUCAUUUUAAGCCCCUUGACUCUCCUUUAUUUUUGUAUUUAACUUUUUAAAAUAAAAAAAUCUGAAAUAUCCUAACAUGUAGAAAUUUGCAGAAGAUCAUUCAUCUUUCUAAAAGCUAGCUUCCUCUAGUCAUCAUUUCCCACUCUAUGCACCAGCCAUGACUUGAGCCCCUAAAAUUUCUCUUGCUAUUUAACACUUCCAUGAUUGUGUCAAUCCUG
rnacentral:lncRNA from 1 species